rnacentral:rRNA from 1 species
UGCCGUCUACUCUUGGACAGCCUUCUGAAAGGAAGAUUAAUACAAGAUGGCAUCAUGAGUUCACAUGUUCACAUGAUUAAAGGUAUUCCGGUAGACGAUGGGGAUGCGUUCCAUUAGAUAGUAGGCGGGGUAACGGCCCACCUAGUCUUCGAUGGAUAGGGGUUCUGAGAGGAAGGUCCCCCACAUUGGAACUGAGACACGGUCCAAACUCCUACGGGAGGCAGCAGUGAGGAAUAUUGGUCAAUGGGCGCAGGCCUGAACCAGCCAAGUAGCGUGAAGGAUGACCGCCCUAUGGGUUGUAAACUUCUUUUAUAAAGGAAUAAAGUCGGGUAUGUAUACCCGUUUGCAUGUACUUUAUGAAUAAGGAUCGGCUAACUCCGUGCCAGCAGCCGCGGUAAUACGGAGGAUCCGAGCGUUAUCCGGAUUUAUUGGGUUUAAAGGGAGCGUAGAUGGAUGUUUAAGUCAGUUGUGAAAGUUUGCGGCUCAACCGUAAAAUUGCAGUUGAUACUGGAUAUCUUGAGUGCAGUUGAGGCAGGCGGAAUUCGUGGUGUAGCGGUGAAAUGCCUAGAUAUCACGAAGAACUCCGAUUGCGAAGGCAGCCUGCUAAGCUGCAACUGACAUUGA